rnacentral:rRNA from 1 species
AUUGAACGCUGGCGGCAGGCCUAACACAUGCAAGUCGAGCGGUAGCACAGAGAGCUUGCUCUCGGGUGACGAGCGGCGGACGGGUGAGUAAUGUCUGGGAAACUGCCUGAUGGAGGGGGAUAACUACUGGAAACGGUAGCUAAUACCGCAUAACGUCACAAGACCAAAGGGGGGGACCUUCGGGCCUCAUGCCAUCAGAUGUGCCCAGAUGGGAUUAGCUGGUAGGUGGGGUAACGGCUCACCUAGGCGACGAUGCCUAGCUGGUCUGAGAGGAUGACCAGCCACACUGGAACUGAGACACGGUCCAGACUCCUACGGGAGGCAGCAGUGGGGAAUAUUGCACAAUGGGCGCAAGCCUGAUGCAGCCAUGCCGCGUGUGUGAAGAAGGCCUUCGGGCUGUAAAGCACUUUCAGCGGGGAGGAAGGCGAUGAGGUUAAUAACCUCAUCGAUUGACGUUACCCGCAGAAGAAGCACCGGCUAACUCCGUGCCAGCAGCCGCAGUAA